AAAGUAUUGUCUUCAUCCUAAAUUAUUUGUUUUAAAUUUAUUUAAAUGCGGAUGUAUCUAACACUAAAACGUGUCUAAAUACAUUCGUAUUUAGACAACUCUAAGACAAGUAAUUGAGGACGGAGGGAGUACUGG
rfam:Triticum aestivum genome assembly, contig: Triticum_aestivum_CS42_TGACv1_scaffold_500096_6BL